rnacentral:rRNA from 1 species
UGCAAGUCGAGGGGUAACAGAGAGAGCUUGCUUUCUGCUGACGACCGGCGCACGGGUGCGUAACGCGUAUGCAACCUACCUCUUACUGGAGGAUAGUCCGGAGAAAUUCGGAUUAAUACUCCAUAGUAAUACAAUUCCGCAUGUUAUUGUAUUUAAAGGUUACGGUAAGAGAUGGGCAUGCGUCCCAUUAGCUAGAUGGUAAGGUAACGGCUUACCAUGGCAACGAGGGGUAGGGGGCCUGAGAGGGUGACCCCCCACACUGGUACUGAGACACGGACCAGACUCCUACGGGAGGCAGCAGUGAGGAAUAUUGGUCAAUGGAGGCAACUCUGAACCAGCCAUGCCGCGUGCAGGAAGAAUGUCCUAUGGAUUGUAAACUGCUUUUAUUUGGGAAUAAACCUCUCUACGUGUAGAGGGCUGAAUGUACCAAACGAAUAAGGACCGGCUAACUCCGUGCCAGCAGCCGCGGUAAUACGGAGGGUCCAAGCGUUAUCCGGAAUCAUUGGGUUUAAAGGGUCCGCAGGCGGAUCAGUAAGUCAGUGGUGAAAGCCUAUAGCUUAACUAUAGAACUGCCAUUGAUACUGUUGAUCUUGAAUUCGGUCGAAGUGGGCGGAAUAUGUCAUGUAGCGGUGAAAUGCUUAGAUAUGACAUAGAACACCGAUAGCGAAGGCAGCUCACUAGGCCUGGAUUGACGCUCAGGGACGAAAGCGUGGGGAGUGAACAGGAUUAGAUACCCUGGUAGUCCACGCCGUANACUAUCAAUACUCGUUUUCGGCGAUAUACAGUCGGAGACUAAGCGAAAGUGAUAAGUAUUGCACCUGGGGAGUACGAUCGCAAGGUUGAAACUCAAAGGAAUUGACGGGGGCCCGCACAAGCGGUGGAGCAUGUGGUUUAAUUCGAUG